rnacentral:ncRNA from 1 species
UGAGACUUAGAAGUUCUUAAUGUUCUGUAAUGCAGGUAGCCAUGUUUGAACACGAUGUUCAAACAAGUCGUCAUUGAGCCAUGGAUGGCGAAUUGACGACGGUGGCGCAUUAUUAGAAUAUGUAAAUCAGAACAUUUAGAAAUUCUUAGUCUC